GACAGAGGGUGCAAACGUUGUUCGGAAUUACUGGGCGUAAAGCGCGUGUAGGCGGUUCGAUAAGUCGGGUGUGAAAGCCCCGGGCUCAACCCGGGAAGUGCACUCGAUACUGUCGAGCUAGAGUAUCGGAGAGGUUGGUGGAAUUCUCGGUGUAGAGGUGAAAUUCGUAGAUAUCGAGAGGAACACCGGUGGCGAAGGCGGCCAACUGGACGAAUACUGACGCUGAGACUCGAAAGCGUGGGGAGCAAACAGG
rnacentral:rRNA from 1 species